AUUCUAGAACAAAAUUAAUUGACUGAUCGAUUUCCUGGUACACCAAGCUCGCGUGGCUCCCAUUUCUCACCUGGCCGUCGCUCACGUCACUCACGUCGCGGGUCUCCUCAUUGCUUGCUGCUCUCCGGUCUCUGGUCUCUGCUCACCUCGCCGUCCCUCACCUUCCUCCCUCGCCAUCUCUCCAGCAAGCACUCCUCGGCUCCUCGCUCACUGCUUGCUGCUCCAGUGCUUCUUCAGUAUUUUUUUCAGAUAGAGGAAGAAUGGGAAACGAACAGGAGGACAAAGAAAUGGAAAUGGGUUCAAUUGUAGUUGAAAAGGUCGGCGGCAGAUCAUCAGUGGUACACUGCUUCUCAAGAUAUCCCGUCAAGUUCAUUAUACCCAAAAAGGUGGGUUCUUCCAGAACUGAUGCUGUAUGGGUUUAUGCCCUCAAUUAUGGAGGUGGAAUUGUAUCGGGUGAUCAAAUUUUAUGCAAAUUUUCAGUGGGAGAUUGUUGUACAAUGGUGUUAACCACCCAAGGUUCCACUAAGGUCUACAAAUCAGUGGGAUCUAAGUGCUCUAAACAACUAUUGGAGGCAAGGGUUGGAAGCAAUGCACUUUUAGCCAUCAUUCCAGAUCCUGUAACAUGUUUCUCCACUGCAAGAUACUACCAGAAGCAAGUAUUUAAUGUGUCUUCAAACUCAAAUCUGGUCAUUGUUGAUUGGAUAACCAGUGGGCGACAUGAAAGUGGAGAAAAAUGGGAUUUUGAUCUUUAUAGAAGCAUCAAUAAUAUAUUCUUGGAGGAUGGUGAACCAUUGUUUCUCGAUACGAUGUCAUUAGAGAAAGAAAAAAUUGGCUGCAUACAUGAACUUGUGCAGGACUACCAAGUGAUUGCAAUGAUUCUACUACUGGGGCCAAAGUUGCAGUUUGUGCAGAAUCUGGUGCAAGAUAAGGUAAAAGGAAUUAUGUCUGAGCAAUUGCAGCAUCCUUCAGGUGCCUUGAGUCACAAAAGAAAUGAGGCUGGUUAUUUCAUUUCCAAGCCAAGCUUGAUGGCUUCUUGCAGUGUCUUUGGGACUAAGGGUAUGUGUAGAACCAAUUUGGGCAUAUUUGGCUUGAAAGCUUUUACAAAUCGAUAGAAACUAGGGGAAGAAAAACAAGAAAUGCUAACUUCAUGAUCUCGGCCCAUUCCAAUCUUUACAAAGUGUUGGGCGGCCAAAGGAGAGCACAAACAUAAGCUAAGUGUGACAGAGAUAAAGAUAUUGAGAUGGAUGAGUGGUCAUAUGCGAUUGGAUAGAAUAAGAAAUGACGAUAUAAGAGAGAGAGUUGGAGUAGCAUCUAUUUUGGAAAAGAUAGUAGAAUCGCGUCUCAGGUGGUUCGGACAUGUGAGAAGAAGACCGACAGAACAUCCAGUCCGGAAGGUGGAUGAGAUGGAAGACGGACAAGGGGUGAAAGGUAGAGGAAGACCUAAGAAGACUAUCCAUGAGGUGGUCAAACGAGAUCCACAUGUAAACAGUCUUUCUAUUGACACGAUAAAUGAUAGAGCUCAAUGACGUCGUUUGAUUUAUGUAGCCGAUUUGACCUAGUGGGACAAGGCUUUGUUUUUGUUGUUGUUGUUGUUGUUUGUACCUAUAAAAGAUUGAGAUAGUUUGACAAAACUAACCAUAGUAGGUAGUUUUUUGGAUAGUUUUGUCAAAAUAAUCCAAUUUUUUAUGGGCAUCAGUUGUUUACAUCUUUCAUGGUUAGAAUUAGCCCUCAGAUAUUACAAAAUUGGAAAUGAUAAUUAAGUCAUAAAAUUGCCUACAUUGUUAUGUAGUUUUGGUUUCUACCUUUUGUGAUUAUUUUUAUCUUCUGUGGAUAUUUUUGGUAGAUUAGUUACUAAAUCAUAUUAUUGGUAGAUCAUGUGGUACAAAAUGACAAAAGCUUUAUCACUUUCAGACGUUGAUGUCUUGCCCAAAAGCUUGAGCCCAAGAGAGGAUGGUGAAGUUUUCCACAACAUUUUCUAAGAAAAUUUUGUCAUCCACAAAUUACAAAAGAUAGAUUGUAGUCUUAGUGCCUAGAAGGCCACUUUAGGACUUUAACAACAAAAGUAAACGAAAAUGGAGAUUUCUUACUGCCUUUUUCCCCACAAAACUAUGCUCUUUUCUCAUCAUUAAUAAUCACAGUUCUUGCCGUGCAGCUUCUUCACUUAGAUUCAGGUCUUUUCCCCCCUCGAAAACCCUUAUCAUAAAAUCCCCAACUUAUACUUCGUAAGCGUUCUCAAAGUGCUUUAUAUGUAUUUUUAUAUAUAUUUAAAUAAGUAGAUUAGCCUGUUUUUAAGUGCAUCCAAAAUUUGUUUGGCUAUAAUUAGAGUACUGCGGAUUUCAGUGUUAUGAAUUAAAUUUUCUCUAUUAUCUAAUUCAGGCCAAACAAACGACAUGUCUUGUGAUUUAUUUUAUUUUAUUUUUGAAGACUAGCAACAUGGCUGACAGGUUACUACUUGGGGUAUGUUUGUAUUACAAGUUCCACAUCAGUUAAUGAUAUGAUCUUUAGAGAAUUUUUAAAGAUGGAGCAUCUGUCACCUCUUAAGCUAGCUUUUGGGAUAAGUUAGGUUCAGCCAAUUCUGAUAGUUUGUUUGGAGGGUAAUAGAUGAUAUCUAUUAAUAACCCUGAAAAUGUCUAGGUGUCGAACCAUCAGGUCCUUGGCCUUGCUUUUCCAAAGAGCUUCUCUUCUGUAACUGUGCACCAGUCUCAAUCCUCCACUAGUUAACAUCUUUGUGUAUUUAAUAUGUUACCUAUUAAUGCAGAAGUUUUCAUUUACACUCUCUUAUAUUUCCUUUCCCUCUUGGAUGGUUAUUUUUUCAAGGAUUUACAGCGUAUUAUUGUGUAUUACUCACUUCAGCGUUCAGUAACCAACAAAAGUUUCUUCUGAAACACUAGUCAGUUUGACUAUAUUUUUGGUAGCUGCAAGUGUAUUUUUGGCUACACAAGUUGAUACGUUACCGUCCUUGAUUUCUGGCACACUAUAUAUUACAAUUUACAAUUGUGUAAUUUUUGUUAUUUGUUUUGUUAUUUUUUUCCCUCUAAAGGGUAUUCCUCCCAUUAUUAUUGGAGAAGGAAACUAAUUCCCUUUCAAGUCAUAAACAGUUCAAUAAGCUGAGUUCAUGGGCUUAUGAGCUAAGCAUUAGCUGAACAUCUCAGCUUGUUGUUUUUAAGAAAACUGAGCUUGAGCUUUAUUAUCUUUUGACUCAGUGACUUGUGAGCCGACUUGGUAAUAGUAAUAUUGCAUAUUGUGACCACACACAUGAAGUUUGACCAUUUAAUUUGUUUUAGGAUUUAGAAUAAUUAGGUUUUUUGUGUUAUAAUUUAUAUAAAUUAGGUUAUAUAAUUUUUUUCAUUUUCAACCUCAUUUU